rnacentral:tRNA from 1 species
GAAAUAUAGGCUACAUAUAAACCAUGGGCCUUCAAAGCCCAA